rnacentral:rRNA from 1 species
AACGAACGCUGGCGGCAGGCCUAACACAUGCAAGUCGAACGCACCGCAAGGUGAGUGGCGCACGGGUGAGUAACACGUGGGAAUGUAUCCUUUGGUUCGGAAUAACGUUUGGAAACGAACGCUAAUACCGGAUGAGCCCUUAGGGGGAAAGAUUUAUCGCCGAAGGAGCAGCCCGCGUCUGAUUAGGUAGUUGGUGGGGUAAAGGCCUACCAAGCCGACGAUCAGUAGCUGGUCUGAGAGGAUGAUCAGCCACACUGGGACUGUGACACGGCCCAGACUCCUACGGGAGGCAGCAGUGGGGAAUAUUGGACAAUGGGCGCAAGCCUGAUCCAGCCAUGCCGCGUGAGUGAUGAAGGCCUUCGGGUUGUAAAGCUCUUUCGCACACGACGAUGAUGACGGUAGUGUGAGAAGAAGCCCCGGCUAACUUCGUGCCAGCAGCCGCGGUAAAAC